UCCGUCAUGGUGUAGUGGCUAGCAUUUCAGACUCUCAUUUGUUAGGGAUUAAAGAUCCCUGAUGUGUGUGCGCUCUGAGAACCCGGGUUCAAUUCCCGGUGACGGAA